AAUCAUGCUGAAUGCCUUCUGGGCAGCGAGUGAGAUUGCAACAGCUGGUGCCUCCAUAGCUGAGCUGCCUGCGUUCCAUUACCAACCUCUCCAGCCCUCGGCCUAGUUCUCUGCUCUUGUCUGAAUUUGCCUGAUUUCUUCCUAGUCCCAAAGGUUUCUAGCUGAAUCAUGAACAAUGGGAGCAGAAGAGCUCUUCACUCUGUUGUGAGGUGAUAUUGCUUAUGAUCUUUCACCAUCCUCCGUAAUAUUUUGAAAAGAUGUGUUCUAAAUAAGAGUAAUCUUUCACUGCCAUCUCUCCACUUGACAAGGAGAACAAACAUCAGGUGACUAAAGAAGUUCCUGGGUGCUUUUGGCCUCUUUGUUGUGGCAAUUGUUUUAUGUUGAUUAAAUAUCUGUGGAAAAUGA